rnacentral:rRNA from 1 species
GAUGACCUCUGGCGGCGUGCUUAACACAUGCAAGUCGAACGAAGCACUCUAUUUGAUUUUCUUCGGAAAUGAAGAUUUUGUGACUGAGUGGCGGACGGGUGAGUAACGCGUGGGUAACCUGCCUCAUACAGGGGGAUAACAGUUGGAAACGACUGCUAAUACCGCAUAAGCGCACAGGAUUGCAUGAUCCGGUGUGAAAAACUCCGGUGGUAUGAGAUGGACCCGCGUCUGAUUAGCUAGUUGGCAGGGUAACGGCCUACCAAAGCGACGAUCAGUAGCCGACCUGAGAGGGUGACCGGCCACAUUGGGACUGAGACACGGCCCAAACUCCUACGGGAGGCAGCAGUGGGGAAUAUUGCACAAUGGGGGAAACCCUGAUGCAGCGACGCCGCGUGAGCGAAGAAGUAUUUCGGUAUGUAAAGCUCUAUCAGCAGGGAAGAAGAAUGACGGUACCUGACUAAGAAGCACCGGCUAAAUACGUGCCAGCAGCCGCGGUAAUACGUAUGGUGCAAGCGUUAUCCGGAUUUACUGGGUGUAAAGGGAGCGCAGGCGGUGCGGCAAGUCUGAUGUGAAAGCCCGGGGCUCAACCCCGGUACUGCAUUGGAAACUGUCGUACUAGAGUGUCGGAGGGGUAAGUGGAAUUCCUAGUGUAGCGGUGAAAUGCGUAGAUAUUAGGAGGAACACCAGUGGCGAAGGCGGCUUACUGGACGAUAACUGACGCUGAGGCUCGAAAGCGUGGGGAGCAAACAGGAUUAGAUACCCUGGUAGUCCACGCCGUAAACG